GCAGUGGUGGUUCAGUGGUAGAAUUCUCACCUUUCACGAGGGAGACCCAGGUUCGAUUCCCAGCCAAUGCA
rnacentral:tRNA from 1 species